rnacentral:rRNA from 1 species
GGCCAGACUCCUACGGGAGGCAGCAGUGGGGGAUAUUGGACAAUGGGGGGAACCCUGAUCCAGCGACGCCGCGUGAGUGAAGAAGUAUUUCGGUAUGUAAAGCUCUGUCAGCAGGGAAGAAAGCAAUGACGGUACCUGACCAAGAAGCCCCGGCUAACUACGUGCCAGCAGCCGCGGUAAUACGUAGGGGGCAAGCGUUAUCCGGAAUUACUGGGUGUAAAGGGAGCGUAGACGGCUGUGCAAGCCAGAUGUGAAAGCCCGGGGCUCAACCCCGGGACUGCAUUUGGAACUGUGUGGCUGGAGUGUCGGAGAGGCAGGCGGAAUUCCUAGUGUAGCGGUGAAAUGCGUAGAUAUUAGGAGGAACACCAGUGGCGAAGGCGGCCUGCUGGACGAUGACUGACGUUGAGGCUCGAAAGCGUGGGGAGCAAACAGGAUUAGAUACCCGAGUA